rnacentral:tRNA from 1 species
GCUGGGGUAGCUCAGUACUAAGAGCACUUGCUUAGAUGCAAGGGGCCCUGGGUUCGACCCCAGCACUACCC